UACGAAGGGGGCUAGCGUUGCUCGGAAUCACUGGGCGUAAAGGGUGCGUAGGCGGGUCUUUAAGUCAGGGGUGAAAUCCUGGAGCUCAACUCCAGAACUGCCUUUGAUACUGAAGAUCUUGAGUUCGGGAGAGGUGAGUGGAACUGCGAGUGUAGAGGUGAAAUUCGUAGAUAUUCGCAAGAACACCAGUGGCGAAGGCGACUACCUGGCCUGUUCUUGACGCUGAGGCGCGAAAGCUAGGGGAGCAAACGGG
rnacentral:rRNA from 1 species